UACAGAGGUGGCAAGCGUUGUUCGGAAUUACUGGGCGUAAAGGGCGCGUCGGCGGUUCGUUAAGUCCUGUGUGAAAUCCCCCGGCUCAACUGGGGAACUGCACAGGAAACUAGCGGGCUUGAGUUCGGGAGAGGGAAGCGGAAUUCCGGGUGUAGCGGUGAAAUGCGUAGAUAUCCGGAGGAACACCGGUGGCGAAGGCGGCUUCCUGGACCGACACUGACGCUGAGGCGCGAAAGCUAGGGGAGCAAACGGG
rnacentral:rRNA from 1 species